ensembl:lncRNA
UUUAUUGUUUUUGACACAAACUUAAUUUUGUCUGUUUGUAGUGGCUUUUGGAUAUUUGCUACCUCAUGAAAACAUAAUCCAGAUGGCUGUCCUUUUUGGCCUUUAUCCCAUUCACCUUUUCCUCCAAUUCACAGACUUAUACAUUAUAACAUUAAUAGGAAUGAUUGGCAGCAACAUACUUUUUCACCUUCAAGAAUAUUUCUCUCAGCACGACCACUCAGGAUAUGCCCUUUGGACAAUAUUUCUUCCUAUUGCAUACCCUUUGUACAUACUGGUACAUUUAUAUUGCAUUAGUGAAAUAUAUGGAAACACACCAGGUGAGUUCUCUUUAAUGUGUAGAAUUAUAAUGUACUGAAGCUGCAAUGGGAUACUUUAUUUACCUAUGAUUGAUACUGUACGCCUGCAAGUAAAGCACAUUAACAACUAGUUCUGUCUCUUUACAGAUCACACUGAAUUUAUAUUCGGGAAUGCCUUUCUUCUCAUUUUGACUGCUAUUUCUGGCUUUCAGCAUCCGACUAAGCUGCCUGGUAUGGUAACAAUUGUGACUGAACUUUUUUUUGUUUCAUAAAGCUGCAGCAGAAAGGGGUUCUAUGACAAUGCUUAGGUUAGAUAGCGUCACGGACUUAAGGCGACUCAGAGACGUGAAUGGACAGUACAGUACAGGGGAAAACAGGGGAAAUAAUGGGGAGAACCCAAAAGCAAAACUGGUGAAUAAUGCUCAGAAGAUAAAGUCCUUGGGCACAAAGCUCAGAAGUACAAAUGUCCAACGAAAAACAUACAGGAACACUGGAGCUAGGGAGAGGACGCAGAGAUUUAGAAUGACCUGAAAGUCAGGGAGGAAGACAGGAAUGAUCGUGGGAGGUUAAGAGUCUUCUGGAGUUUAGUCCUUUCAAAAAGGGGGCAGACAGGGGAGUGAGGAGUUUAUAUAGUGGAGAGAGUAACAUGUGCAGGUAAUCAGGCAAUCAGGGGACUGGGAAGGUGACUGAGGCAGGUGAGUUGAAUCAGGAGGGGUGUGGCAGGAGCAGGGCUCAGAACUGGCGUGACGGAUAGCUUGGUGGGAAACAAAAAAACUGUAUCAAUGGGAAUUCCUCUGGUUUCUAAAUUAAGAAGAACUCCAUCUCAGCAUCAUCUACCAAGGCA